UACAGAGGGUGCGAGCGUUAAUCGGCAUUACUGGGCGUAAAGCGCACGUAGGUGGCGACGUAAGUCGGGUGUGAAAGCCCCGGGCUCAACCUGGGAAUUGCAUUCGAGACUGCAUUGCUGGAGUACGGAAGAGGAGGGCGGAAUUCCCGGUGUAGCGGUGAAAUGCGUAGAUAUCGGGAUGAACAUCAGUGGCGAAGGCGGCCCUCUGGUCCAGUACUGACACUGAGGUGCGAAAGCGUGUGGAGCAAACAGG
rnacentral:rRNA from 1 species